rnacentral:rRNA from 1 species
CGUAGGGCCCGAGCGUUAUCCGGUAUUAUUGGGCGUAAAGAGUACGUAGGCGGUCUUGUAAGACAAUGGUUAAAUCUCCGAGCUCAACUCGGAACCUGCCGUUGUUACUGCAAGACUAGUCGAUAGCAGGGGCAAGCGGAAUUCUCGGUGUAGGAGUGAAAUCCGUUGAGAUCGAGAAGAACACCAAUGGCGAAGGCAGCUUGCUAGGUUAUUUGAGACGCUGAGGUACGAAAGCGUGGGGAGCGAACGGGAUUAGAUACCCCGGUAGUCCACGCCGUAAACGAUGCAUACUAGCUAUCAGAAGUAUCGACCCUUCUUGUAGCGUAGCUAACGCGUUAAGUAUGCCGCCUGGGAAGUACGGUCGCAAGACUA